rnacentral:rRNA from 1 species
UACAGAGGUCCCGAGCGUUGUUCGGAUUCACUGGGCGUAAAGGGUGCGUAGGUGGCAUGGUAAGUUUGAUGUGAAAGCUCAGGGCUUAACCCUGAAAUGGCAUUGAAUACUACUGUGCUGGAGGUUUGGAGGGGGGACUGGAAUUCUUGGUGUAGCAGUGAAAUGCGUAGAUAUCAAGAGGAACACCAGUGGCGAAGGCGAGUCCCUGGACAACACCUGACACUGAGGCACGAAAGCUAGGGGAGCAAACGGG